ensembl:piRNA 21ur-1 ncRNA
AUGGUACGUACGUUAACCGUG